rnacentral:rRNA from 1 species
AUUGAACGCUGGCGGCAUGCCUUACACAUGCAAGUCGAACGGCAGCACGGGAGCAAUCCUGGUGGCGAGUGGCGAACGGGUGAGUAAUACAUCGGAACGUGCCCAGUUGUGGGGAGUAGCCGGCGAAAGCCGGAUUAAGUACCGCAUACGACCUAUGGGUGAAAGCGGGGAGUCNCAAGACCUCGCGCAAUUGGAGCGGCCGAUGUCAGAUUAGGUAGUUGGUGGGGUAAAAGCCUACCAAGCCGACGAUCUGUAGCUGGUCUGAGAGGACGACCAGCCACACUGGGACUGAGACACGGCCCAGACUCCUACGGGAGGCAGCAGUGGGGAAUUUUGGACAAUGGGCGCAAGCCUGAUCCAGCCAUGCCGCGUGUGGGAAGAAGGCCUCGGGUUGUAAACCACUUUUGUCAGGGAAGAAACGGCCUAGGCUAACAUCUUGGGCUAAUGACGGUACCUGAAGAAUAAGCACCGGCUAACCUACGUGCCAGCAGCCGCGGUAAUNCGUAGGGUGCAAGCGUUAAUCGGAAUACUGGGCGUAAAGCGUGCGCAGGCGGGCUUUUGC